AUGCUGCCUCGGUCGGGGGAACGAGCUGUAGCUGACACCUCCGUCGAGGUGAGCUGUGGCGUGCAGGUGGUUGGGCGCAGGCAGGGGCAUAGUCGUGAGGAUGAGCCAGAGGAGGACCCAGAGGAAGACGUGGAGGAUGGCGCCGAGGACGCUGACGAGGACGGCGAUGUCGAGGCUCCCCCGGUAGACGAGCGAGAAGUCGUAGAUGAGCGGGGCCUCGCAGACGACGACCGCCAGGAGGACGCUCAGCGCGGCGCAGUGCGUGAAGUAGCCCCACCCGCGGCUCGAGUCGCUCUCCCGGAUGCUGAUCACCUGCCGCGCCUUCUCCCGGUUCAGGAACGCGUUGAACCUACACCCACAAACAUAAACCUUGAAGUUGUUUUUAAGCACAAUCAAGUAGAGGAUGAAGGGGUGGCAGCCAAAGAGGCUUGAUGGGUCAGCUUCGCCAGUCAUGGAACCGGCGCAUCGCUUGGAAACAAAUCGCUGCUAGUUCGCCUUCAAAUUUGGCGAUGCAACCUAACCCCCACCGAAGUUAAUUGAGUUGCAUCCAGCUUGCAAGAAGCAAAGGAUGAGGAUAACUGAAGGGGUGACAGCCGAGGAGGCUUGAUGGGUCAGCUUCGCCAGUCAUAAAACCCACGUGCCGCGAGCUUGGAGACAAAAUCGCUGCUAGUUCGCCUUCAAAUCUGGCGAUGCAACCCAACCACACACCGAAGUUAAUUGAUUUGUAUCCACCAAUCGGCUGUAUUCUGAAUGUUUUUACAUAUCCUAAGGACUUAUUUCUUACAUUUCAGGAAUUUACCAGUGCGCUGACAACAGAAAUCGUGUUUCUAUGCUUGAUUCUUGUCGAUCAGCUAAAAAUUUAAGAUCCAUCCGAAAAACAACUUUCUCUGUUCAAUAUUGUGCGAAAUAUCACACUUCGAAAAAUUCGGCUUAUGACGUCAUCCACCGCGGUAGUGACACCCUUGGUUUCUUCCACCUCGGUUUCAUUUGUCAGGGAGACACACAUUUUUGCUGGUUCCUCGACGUAAACUCGGAUUGAAGCAAGAUGGAAGAAACCAAGGGUGUCACCACUGCGGUGGAUGACGUCAUAAACCGAAUUUUUCAAAGCGCGAUAUUUCGGUUAACGUCGAACGUAGAAAGUUGCUGUUUGGAUAGAUAGAUCUUAAUAUUUUGAGUUGAUCGACAAGAAUCAAGCAUCAAAACACGAUUCUGAGUCCAGCGCAACUGACGAAUUUC
rnacentral:lncRNA from 1 species